rnacentral:rRNA from 1 species
GUGGGGAAUCUUAGACAAUGGGGGAAACCCUGAUCUAGCCAUGCCGCGUGAGCGAUGAGGGCCUUAGGGUUGUAAAGCUCUUUCAGCUGGGAAGAUAAUGACGGUACCAGCAGAAGAAGCCCCGGCUAACUCCGUGCCAGCAGCCGCGGUAAUACGGAGGGGGCUAGCGUUGUUCGGAAUUACUGGGCGUAAAGCGCGCGUAGGCGGACCAGAAAGUUGGAGGUGAAAUCCCAGGGCUCAACCUUGGAACUGCCUUCAAAACUCCUGGUCUGGAGUUCGAGAGAGGUGAGUGGAAUUCCGAGUGUAGAGGUGAAAUUCGUAGAUAUUCGGAGGAACACCAGUGGCGAAGGCGGCUCACUGGCUCGAUACUGACGCUGAGGUGCGAAAGCGUGGGGAGCAAACAGGAUUAGAAACCCCUGUAGUCC